rnacentral:lncRNA from 1 species
GGUAAUGGUACAUUUUAUUCCCAGAACAACUAACUUUUUACUAGAAAACAAGAGGGUUACUUAUUAUUUCCAUGCCUUGAGAUCUUUUGUGUGGUGUGUUUAGGAACAUGUUGGGAAGCAAGAUGAACAAAGACCCCAGGACUGCCUCUGUUCUCAGGGAAUUUUAACACAGUAUACUUAGAAAUGUUGAAUUUGUUUGCUUACUUAACUGGACCAAGUACCUGUCUUUUCUUGGAGUGUUUUGUAAGAUGGAAAAGUGCUAGAUGUAGCUUGAUAAUUCUGUUUCAUUAAUAUUAAUCUAAUCAAUUCUUGAAGCCCUGGCUAAUAUCCUCGGGGAAGAAUGGUUAGCACAAUUAAUUAAUUGUGCUUCUUUUUACUUUUCUGUUUCCAGAGAUGCUUGUUUAAUUACAGGCUUAUGGCGUACUAUUUUUCUUUAAGAAGGAGAAACAUUUGAUUUCAUAAAUCUCAUAAGGAAAAACUCAACAAAUAAGCUUUGAAGAACAUAUCUUCAUAUCAAGACAGGAUAUCCUCCUUGAUCAGUUAUUCUUGUGAACAGGAGAUUAAACAGAAGUAAAAUUUGGAAAUUAUGUUAUAGAUAUCAGCUGACAUUGAUAUUAAUACUAAACAAGGGCUGGCUUACAGUGCAGUACAAUUUGUGAUCAUCACAUUUCUUCAAUAGCUUAAUUGAUCCUAUAUCCUUUAGCCUCUUGCACGUUUAUGCACACAUUCCAUACCUGCUUCCUGAUUCUGUUGUCAUUAAGUUACCUCCAGUGGAUAAUGGGACACAGGAGAAAUGACAGUAUUUGAAAUGCUAGCUGCUGGCAUGCGUGUUCUUUCAUAUCAAACCAUUGUCCUAUAGCUAAAGAUUCCUUUGAAAUUCUGGCAAAUUCAUAAGGUGUUCUGAUUUCUUAAACCUGAUGCUACAUUAGCUAGAGAGUUUAGCUAUUUGUUAUUUUCAACAUGGUAAAUAAGAAGGGAAUUUAUGUAAUUGUCCAUGACCGAAACUAACAGGAUUAAAAAUCCAGAUAGUUAAGUGUUA